rnacentral:lncRNA from 1 species
AGCGGUUUGGGACGGAAUAGAGCAGAAAACAAAGAAAUGAGUGAAGGAAUGGCUUGGUGUGCAGACAUUGGCAAGGGGGGGGGGGGGUGUUGUCGUGGGAAGGAUCUGACCGCCGCCGCAGAGCUUUUGUGGUAGGGAAAUAGUAAUGGAUGUAGGUUGAUCGUGGGCUUGUAUCAUGGUUGAGAGCGGGUGGCAAUGGUACAAGACGGCUGCAGGUGACAAACGCGGCUGGAACAAGGUCGCCGAUGAGAAAUUGGAUCUUGGUCGAGAGAGUGC